AUUGAACGCUGGCGGCAUGCCUUACACAUGCAAGUCGAACGGCAGCACGGGAGCAAUCCUGGUGGCGAGUGGCGAACGGGUGAGUAAUAUAUCGGAACGUGCCCAGUCGUGGGGGAUAACGCAGCGAAAGCUGUGCUAAUACCGCAUACGAUCUAUGGAUGAAAGCGGGGGAUCGCAAGACCUCGCGCGAUUGGAGCGGCCGAUAUCAGAUUAGCUAGUUGGUGAGGUAAAGGCUCACCAAGGCGACGAUCUGUAGCUGGUCUGAGAGGACGACCAGCCACACUGGAACUGAGACACGGUCCAGACUCCUACGGGAGGCAGCAGUGGGGAAUUUUAGACAAUGGGCGAAAGCCUGAUCCAGCAAUGCCGCGUGCAGGAUGGAGGCCUUCGGGUUGUAAACUGCUUUUGUACGGAACGAAACGGUGAGCUCUAAUACAGUUUGCUAAUGACGGUACCGUAAGAAUAAGCACCGGCUAACUACGUGCCAGCCGCCGCCGUAA
rnacentral:rRNA from 1 species